UACGAAGGGGGCGAGCGUUGUUCGGAUUUACUGGGCGUAAAGCGUGCGCAGGCGGUUUUGUAAGCCAGAUGUGAAAUCCCCGGGCUUAACCUGGGAAUGGCAUUUGGGACUGCAAGGCUGGAGUUUGGCAGAGGAGACUGGAAUUCCCGGUGUAGCAGUGAAAUGCGUAGAUAUCGGGAGGAAUACCGAUGGCGAAGGCAGGUCUCUGGGCUAUAACUGACGCUCAUGCACGAAAGCGUGGGGAGCAAACAGG
rnacentral:rRNA from 1 species